GCAUGGCCACCCCAAGAUCUUCCUGUUCCAGGCCUGCCGUGGUGGGUACAGGGACCCUGGUGUGGGGCCAAGAGCUCUCCCAUGGUACCGGCAUUGGUUGAGAGCACCCCCAGCCAUCCCCACCCAGGCAGACGUUCUUCAGAUCCAUGCUGAUGCCCCAGGCAGCCUUCUCUCCACUCCAGGGGGCUCAGGCCAAGCAGACAUCCUUACCGUGUAUGCCGCUGCUGAGGGUAAGAAGCCCACGGUUAUUGUGGGCCUAGUUUCCUGCCCUAAGACCUGGAGUUGCUUUACUGUCAGCAGGUGUCCAGCUAAGUCACUUCCCUCCCACAGGUCAACAGACGGGUGUGUGAGCUGGACGUCCUAGGGCCAGACAGUGAUGAACUGCGCAAAGCCUGCCUGGAGAUCCGCAGCUCGCUCAGGCGCCGGCUCUGUUUAUAGGACUAACAACCUCGCCACUUCCCCUGCAUCCCCUCUUCACAUCCUGUCAUCGAUGCAGCAAUGGGCGUGGGAGCUCAGAUAGCGCCAAUAAAUAUGUAUUCACG
rnacentral:lncRNA from 1 species